AUUACAUAAUAAUGUAAUUAAAAACUAUCAGGUUCACGUCAGCUCUCUUUAUUUAAGUUCUCCUGUUUUCUUUUUCAGUUCUUUUCUCUGCAGAUGUCAGGCAGAUGCUGCAGCAUUUCAUGCUGAUGUCUCCCCGGUGCUUACAGCUUUGGAGGGUCUCUGGUGUUCCAGCAGGAGUCGGUACUCACCUCAUCAUCUCAGCUGUUCAGCAUUAAGCUCUGCAGUUUCCAGUGUUCACCGACAGAUCGUUGCCCACCUUUAGAAUCCUUCAACCACGAGUACCAACAACCAACCAUCUCUGGACCUCUCUGCUCAGCUGCCUCACAGCCACAGACUCGGUUCUACCUGCUCACCGUGUCCUCCAGCUCCAGAAGGACAAAAGAACGCCGCUCACCUCCCAAUGUCUUAGACACCAUCUGCACACCCCGGUGCAGCCUCUCCUCUCUUCAUUCUCAAUCUCUCUCCACCCCCCCUGCCGGCACGCUGACUACAGAUUCAUCCCCAUCUCUAAAUAAAUCCCUUCCUCACACAUAGACAUGUUUCCAGCACUUGGGUCCUUCUGACCUCGUGAAACCAUGACAACGACGUCAACAUGGACGGAGAUUCAGUUUCUGGACAGAAGAGGCAUUGCUGCUUCUGCAGGAACUCUCCAGCUGAUCUUCAGGCUCCAGAGACGACCACCUCCACACCUGAAGUCCAAUCAGACAGGUGAGAGGGGCGGCAAUUACAACAUUUGUAGAAUGUGAUUGUGAUCACACAAUGUUAAUGUAGAGACUAUUCAGCUCA